UACAGAGGUCUCAAGCGUUGUUCGGAAUUCAUUGGGCGUAAAGGGUGUGUAGGUGGCGCGCUAAAGUCGGGUGUGAAAUUUCGGAGCUUAACUCCGAAACUGCAUUCGAUACUGGCGUGCUUGAGGACUGGAGAGGAGACUGGAAUUCAUGGUGUAGCAGUGAAAUGCGUAGAGAUCAUGAGGAAGACCAGUGGCGAAGGCGGGUCUCUGGACAGUUCCUGACACUGAGACACGAAGGCCAGGGAGGCAAACGGG
rnacentral:rRNA from 1 species